UGAAAGAUGUUUCUUCAUGCCAGAAUUCAACACAAACAUGAGGCGGAACUUUGGCCACAUGCGUCCUAGUACUCAAGGUAUAAAUCAACUGCAACAAUGAACCAAUAAUGAUCCUUAUGUACAGUCUUAAUCUCGAGAAAUGUUUCAAUUACAACCAAACAGGUCAUCUUUCGAUCAAUUGCCUAAAUAGGUGAACCAUUAACUCUGC
rnacentral:lncRNA from 1 species